rnacentral:lncRNA from 1 species
GCAUCCCUAGUCUCUGGGGCAGGGUCAGGCUCUGGGGCAGCAUCCCUAGUCUCUGGGGCAGGGUCAAUGUCUGCAGCACCAUCCCUGUUUUCUGGAGUAUGUAUCAGAGUUGUUAUCCAGCUCAAUCCCCCGUUAUCUCUUAAUGUUAAAUAGGACAAGCCUAUCAGUAACACCAGCCACUGUAUGAUAUCAUUAGCAUUCAGAGGAAAUCUGAACCCUUCAAAAACUGGUGGGGUAGACCCAAAAAUUUGGGUGAAGGGUUGGGAGAAAAUUUCCCCUGGUGUUAUUCCCUCACAGUAGGUGCCAUUAUUAAAGUAAUCCCAAAAACAUGCAGUUAGUGUGUGGUAUCCCUGAAUCCAUGUACCCGCCGUCCAAAGGAAGUUAAAAAUCCAUUAAUUCCUCACCUUAUCAAUCCAUAAAGCAAGUUCGAUAACAGUCACAGUAGCCUUAGUUACAGGGGUCAUGUUUAUGUAAGGGUUUGCAAAUGGGAGAUAUACAUGUAUGAACACGUGCAGCCCAAACCAGAUUAAACUGGACCACAUGUUGCUAGCACACAAAAAGACAAUCUCAGGCAACUGAGGAACUGUUAUUCCUUAACCUCGAGCCCCACAUUGGGCGUCAAGAUCUAUCCUGGUUUAAAGGGACAGUAUUGCCAGGAAAAGGAAAUUCAGGAACUCUCAGGCAAAAUGGUAUGGGUUUGGAGUAACAGUUCUUUAGUGAUAUAUUUACAAGACAAACAAAAACAGCAUCAGCUAUAUGAAAGGAAAAAAACGGUGACAGAACAGAAUGAAACUCAGUCUCAGUCCUUUUUUCCAGUCACCGAUGCCCCUCCUCGUCCGCACAGUUCCGAUGGAGCAGGGCAGGCAGCCUCUCAGUCGCAGCUGCUGCAGGAGCAGGGGGAGCGAGGCAGCAGCGCUAUCCCAGGUGAGAGAAGGGAAGAACUUGCUCAUCGUGGGUGUCCCAUGGGUUCUCGGCGUUGUUUCUCAGAAGCAGGAAGCUUUUGCAGUCUGAGUCCAGCGGGGAAGAAACACGGAGAAGAAACAACCUCUCUCCUCCACCGGCGAGCUGCGAGUGUCCUCCUACUCGCCGAAGUACAAAAGUAGGACUCCACCUUUCCCUAAUGGAGCCAUCAGGCUGCUCCAGCCAUUCCUUUGUCUUCAGCUCUUAACGGCUAAUAGGGGAGCCACCCUGGCUAGCUUAACAUAAUAAUGGGAAAAAUUUCUAAACCUCACCAGCCCACAACAAGCUCCCUGCAGAACUUGGGGAAAAACUGGGGGUAUUAUGGGGAAAGCAAGGGUGGUACCAAUGGGGAAAGACCAAUGGGUUACAAAGGAUUAACAUGGGUACUAGGGCAUGGUGGGAUCACUGAAACCUUUGAGGAUAGCUCACCAUGAUAAGAAAAGAUGUGCCAACCUAAGGAGCAUCAUUCCAGGAUUGAGAUAAACUAAUCACAGCCCAUUCAAGGAACAUUCCAUUCAAG